rnacentral:rRNA from 1 species
GUAUGGAUGGGUGCCACGCCCGUGUGAGCUCUUCGACGAGUCGAGUGUUUGGGAUGCAGCUCUAAUGGUGGUAANUUCAUCUAAGCUANAUNUGGCCGGAGACCGAUAGCGCACAAGUAGAGUGAUCGAAAGAUGAAAAGCACUUUGAAAAGAGAGUUAAAAAGCACGUGAAAUUGUUGAAAGGGAAGCGCUUGCGACCAGACUCGCCCCAGGGGUUCAGCCGGCUUUCGGGCCGGUGUACUUCCCCCGGGGCGGGCCAGCGUCGGUUUUGGCGGCCGGUCAAAGGCCCUUGGAAUGUAACGCCUCUCGGGGCGUCUUAUAGCCAGGGGUGCCAUGCGGCCCGCCGGGACCGAGGAACGCGCUUCGGCUCGGACGCUGGCAUAAUGGUCGUAAGCGACCCGUCUUGAAACACGGACCAAGGGAGUCUAACAUCUACGCGAGUGUUCGGGUGUCAAACCCGUGCGCGCAGUGAAAGCGAACGGAGGUGGGAGCCCCCCGGGGCGCACCAUCGACCGAUCCUGAUGUCUUCGGAUGGAUUUGAGUAAGAGCGUAGCUGUUGGGACCCGAAAGAUGGUGAACUAUGCCUGAAUAGGGCGAAGCCAGAGGAAACUCUGGUGGAGGCUCGCAGCGGUUCUGACGUGCAAAUCGAUCGUCAAAUUUGGGUAUAGGGGCGAAAGAC